UACAGAGGGGGCAAGCGUUGUUCGGAAUUACUGGGCGUAAAGGGCGCGUAGGCGGCCUGUUAAGUCGAACGUGAAAUCCCCGGGCUCAACCCGGGAACUGCGUCCGAUACUGGCAGGCUUGAAUUCGGGAGAGGGAUGCGGAAUUCCAGGUGUAGCGGUGAAAUGCGUAGAUAUCUGGAGGAACACCGGUGGCGAAGGCGGCAUCCUGGACCGAGAUUGACGCUGAGGCGCGAAAGCCAGGGGAGCAAAACGGGG
rnacentral:rRNA from 1 species